rnacentral:rRNA from 1 species
UACGUAGGGUGCAAGCGUUAAUCGGAAUUACUGGGCGUAAAGCGUGCGCAGGCGGACAUUUAAGUCAGGGGUGAAAUCCCGGGGCUCAACCUGGGAAUUGCAUUGGAGACUGCAAGGCUAGAAUCUGGCAGAGGGGGGUAGAAUUCCACGUGUAGCAGUGAAAUGCGUAGAGAUGUGGAGGAACACCGAUGGCGAAGGCAGCCCCCUGGGUCAAGAUUGACGCUCAUGCACGAAAGCGUGGGGAGCAAACAGG